rnacentral:misc_RNA from 1 species
AAUUGACCCAGACUGGAUUGGUGGUCACCCCUAGGGUUAUGUCACUAGAGGCAUGACUUUUGUUCAAUUACUAAGCAAAAAUAGAUGGAAAUUUGCUCAUCUCCCUGUAGUUGUUUCCUUAGAGGCAUCAUUUUAUUCUUUCAUAGUAUUUUUCAGUACACAGAUGAAAUGCUUUUGCUUGUCAUGUUUCUUAUUGUAAAUGUUGAUGGUAUGGCCUUGACAAGAUAACCUUCAAAUUAUGUUGUUUUCAAAACUACUAAGUCUACUUUAGCUAUUCAUUCCCAUUGUUCUCUCACUUUUCACUCAUUCUCUUGCAUUUAUAUGUUUUGCUUCAGCGGUUGCAUUGAGAAUUUGCUGACUUAAAACAUCUUG